CAGAAGCAGGGGCUCCUUCCAGCCUAAAGCAGAAGCCAAGCCAUCUUUUUGCUUGCCGCACUUCUUGCUUUUGCUUGCUUUGGACUGAAGGGAGCUCCUAAUUCUU
rnacentral:pre_miRNA from 1 species